rnacentral:rRNA from 1 species
UACAUAGGAUGCAAGCGUUAUCCGGAAUGAUUGGGCGUAAAGCGUCCGCAGGUGGUUUUGUAAGUCUGCUGUUAAAGCGUUAGGCUCAACCUAAUAAGGGCAGUGGAAACUAUGAGACUAGAGUAUGUUAGGGGUAGAGGGAAUUCCCAGUGUAGCGGUGAAAUGCGUAGAGAUUGGGAAGAACACCGGUGGCGAAAGCGCUCUGCUAGGACAAUACUGACACUGAGGGACGAAAGCUAGGGGAGCGAAUGGG